rnacentral:rRNA from 1 species
UACGUAGGGGGCAAGCGUUGUCCGGAUUUAUUGGGCGUAAAGAGCGUGUAGGCGGCUAGAUAGGUCCGUUGUGAAAACUCGAGGCUCAACCUCGAGACGCCGGUGGAAACCAUCUAGCUAGAGUCCGGAAGAGGAGAGUGGAAUUCCUGGUGUAGCGGUGAAAUGCGCAGAUAUCAGGAGGAACACCAGUGGCGAAGGCGGCUCUUUGGUCUGUAACUGACGCUGAGGCGCGAAAGCGUGGGGAGCGAACAGG